rnacentral:rRNA from 1 species
CCCUUAGAUGUUCUGGGCCGCACGCGCGCUACACUGACGAAUGCAACGAGCUUAUAACCUUGGCCGAAAGGUCUGGGUAAUCUCCAAAUUUCGUCGUGAUGGGGAUAGAUUAUUGCAAUUAUUAAUCUUCAACGAGGAAUGCCUAGUAAGCGCAAGUCAUCAGCUUGCGUUGAUUACGUCCCUGCCCUUUGUACACACCGCCCGUCGCUACUACCGAUUGAAUGGCUCAGUGAGGCCUCCGGACUGGCUUAGGGAGGUUGGCAACGACCACCCCGAGCCGGGAAGCUGGUCAAACUCGGUCAUUUAGAGGAAGUAAAAGUCGUAACA